CGGAGCCGUAUGAGGUGGAAGUCUCACGUAUGGUUCUCUGAAAAGGGAGUGGCUACCUACUGGAGCUUUGACCAAGCACCACCGGUCAAUUCCAC
rfam:Solanum tuberosum cultivar DM 1-3 516 R44 scf00053_134, whole genome shotgun sequence.